rnacentral:rRNA from 1 species
CCAGCUCCAAUAGCGUAUAUUAAAGUUGUUGCAGUUAAAAAGCUCGUAGUUGGAUUUCUGGUUUGAGCGUCCGGUCGCCUUUUGGCAGUACUAUGGAUGUUUGGGCCAUAUUUUGUGAGGAUGCCUUUCUGCCAUUGAGUUGGUGGUUGGGUGGACUUGCAUCGUUUACUGUGAAAAAAUUAGAGUGUUUAAAGCAGGCGUUUGCUCAUUUGAAUACAUUAGCAUGGAAUAAUAAGAUACGACCUUGGUGGUCUAUUUUGUUGGUUUGCACGCCAGGGUAAUGAUUAAUAGGGACAGUUGGGGGUAUUCAUAUUUCAACGUCAGAGGUGAAAUUCUUGGAUCGUUGAAAGAUGAGCUUAGGCGAAAGCAUUUACCAAGGAUGUUUUCA